rnacentral:rRNA from 1 species
GACGAACGCUGGCGGCGUGCUUAACACAUGCAAGUCGAACGGAAAGGCCCUGCUUUUGUGGGGUGCUCGAGUGGCGAACGGGUGAGUAACACGUGAGUAACCUGCCCUUGACUUUGGGAUAACUUCAGGAAACUGGGGCUAAUACCGGAUAGGAGCUCCUGCUGCAUGGUGGGGGUUGGAAAGUUUCGGCGGUUGGGGAUGGACUCGCGGCCUAUCAGCUUGUUGGUGGGGUAGUGGCUUACCAAGGCUUUGACGGGUAGCCGGGCUGAGAGGGUGAGCGGCCACGUUGGGACUGGAAUGCGGCACAGACUCGAACGGGAGGCAAGAGAGGAGAGUGUUGUACAAUGGGCGGAAGGCUGAUGCGGCAACGCCGUGUGCGGGAUGACGGCCUGGGGGUUGUAAACCGAUUUCGCCUGAGACGAAGCGUGAGUGACGGUAAUGGGUAAAGAAGCACCGGCUAACUACGUG